rnacentral:rRNA from 1 species
AUUGAACGCUGGCGGCAGGCCUAACACAUGCAAGUCGAGCGGAUGAAGGGAGCUUGCUCCUGGAUUCAGCGGCGGACGGGUGAGUAAUGCCUAGGAAUCUGCCUGGUAGUGGGGGAUAACGUCCGGAAACGGGCGCCAAUACCGCAUACGUCCUGAGGGAGAAAGUGGGGGAUCUUCGGACCUCACGCUAUCAGAUGAGCCUAGGUCGGAUUAGCUAGUUGGUGGGGUAAAGGCCUACCAAGGCGACGAUCCGUAACUGGUCUGAGAGGAUGAUCAGUCACACUGGAACUGAGACACGGUCCAGACUCCUACGGGAGGCAGCAGUGGGGAAUAUUGGACAAUGGGCGAAAGCCUGAUCCAGCCAUGCCGCGUGUGUGAAGAAGGUCUUCGGAUUGUAAAGCACUUUAAGUUGGGAGGAAGGGUAGUAAGUUAAUACCUUGCUGUUUUGACGUUACCAACAGAAUAAGCACCGGCUAACUUCGUG